UCUAAUAUGGCAGAUUAGUGCGGUGGAUUUAAGUCCCACAAAUAAAGUUAACUUUUAUAAGAA
rnacentral:tRNA from 1 species